rnacentral:tRNA from 1 species
GGUAGGUAGCUCAGUGGUAGAGUGCUUGCCUUGCAUGCAUGAGGCCUUGGGUUCGAUUCCUCAGCACCA